rnacentral:misc_RNA from 1 species
GUAAAAUUGAUUGAUUGAUUGAUGUGUGCAUAGUAGCUUGAUUCCAUGCAUUGAUUUGGUAGAUUGAGUGUUAUUGUGAUGGUAAAUAACAGGUUGGCUUGGUUGGCUGUUGAUACUGAUCUGAAAGGAUUGAGUGUUCUUUAAUUGGGAAAGUUUGAUUCAAUUAGUGUUUAUUGAACAGGAAAUAUUAAACGUUGUGUUAGGGUUUCAGAACACUAACAGAGCAAUUGAGAAAGAGAGGAGGGAAAUUGAGAGAAGUUAGAGAGAAAGAGAUGAGAUUGAGAAGGAAAGGAAGAUUUUAUAUCUGGAAAAUUCUGGAAUGAAUUACAGAAAAUAUCUUCUCUAUUUUUAUAGUAUUUCUGUACUGUUAACUGCCAGUAACGGCUACUGAGUUACUUUUUGAACACUACUGGAGUUACUAGCUACUGUAACUUCCUCCAACUUACUACUCUAGCUGUUAUAACUACUUCCAACUCAGCUAAGUAGCCUCCCAACUAAUAACUGCUCCGGAUCCUUUCUAAAAUUCACCUUUAUUCCUUUCUUCUGGACUUAUUUCUCUUAUAAUGUACAGAUUUCCAACUGGUUGAUAUAGAUCUUCAAUGUUGAUCAGCUUUGAUAGCAAGGCCACUGCAACCCUUUGCCUUCUGUUUGGCACAAUACAUUUUUCUAAUGAGAUUGGGACAGUAUCAUUUGUUCUUCUGUGUGUUUCAAUUGAACUUCACUACGUUGGAUGGAUUACUUCUCUUGAUUUGAGAAGAUCACGAAUGCUACAAUUACAUUGGCAAGUAGUCCAUUGUCAAUACUUUUGGUGUGCAUUCUCCAUGUAGAAUUCACAACACACACAUACUUUAUUCUACUGAUGUUCUUCCUUAAAUGAAGAUUUUAGUACUUUUUGCAUGAUAUAUAGUACUGCUUGGAGUCCAUGUCCAGCAAGGUUGAAGGCUUGCCUCCUCCCUGUAAAAUCUUAAGUAAUAUGCUGUUGCUCUUUGGGCAAGACCAUGUUACAUGUGAAAGUGAAUUCUCAUCAUGAGAUAUGUGGGGAAGGGUUUCCCCACAUCCAUUAACCCUUCAUUGAUAGUCUUUCCAGUAGAUCAUGCAUGUUUUUCACUAAUUUUGUCUGGAAAUUAUGGUAAACAGUAUGUAAUAAUAGAUGGUUCUUCCUGAUUUUUUUUUCGGAGAAACUUUAUUCAUUAUGUGCA